GCUCAGGAUGAACGCUGGCGGCGUGCUUAACACAUGCAAGUCGAGCGAUGAAGUUUCCUUCGGGAAACGGAUUAGCGGCGGACGGGUGAGUAACACGUGGGUAACCUGCCUCAUAGAGUGGAAUAGCCUUCCGAAAGGGAGAUUAAUACCGCAUAAUGUUGAAAGAUGGCAUCAUCAUUCAACCAAAGGAGCAAUCCGCUAUGAGAUGGACCCGCGGCGCAUUAGCUAGUUGGUGGGGUAACGGCCUACCAAGGCGACGAUGCGUAGCCGACCUGAGAGGGUGAUCGGCCACAUUGGGACUGAGACACGGCCCAGACUCCUACGGGAGGCAGCAGUGGGGAAUAUUGCACAAUGGGGGAAACCCUGAUGCAGCAACGCCGCGUGAGUGAUGAAGGUUUUCGGAUCGUAAAGCUCUGUCUUUGGGGAAGAUAAUGACGGUACCCAAGGAGGAAGCCACGGCUAACUACGUGCCAGCAGCCGCGGUAAUACGUAGGUGGCGAGCGUUAUCCGGAUUUACUGGGCGUAAAGGGAGCGUAGGCGGAUGAUUAAGUGGGAUGUGAAAUACCCGGGCUCAACUUGGGUGCUGCAUUCCAAACUGGUUAUCUAGAGUGCAGGAGAGGAGAGUGGAAUUCCUAGUGUAGCGGUGAAAUGCGUAGAGAUUAGGAAGAACACCAGUGGCGAAGGCGACUCUCUGGACUGUAACUGACGCUGAGGCUCGAAAGCGUGGGGAGCAAACAGGAUUAGAUACCCUGGUAGUCCACGCCGUAAACGAUGAAAACUAGGUGUGGGGGUUUCAACACCUCCGUGCCGCCGCUAACGCAUUAAGUAUUCCGCCUGGGGAGUACGGUCGCAAGAUUAAAACUCAAAGGAAUUGACGGGGACCCGCACAAGUAGCGGAGCAUGUGGUUUAAUUCGAAGCAACGCGAAGAACCUUACCUACACUUGACAUCCCUUGCAUUACUCUUAAUCGAGGAAAUCCCUUCGGGGACAAGGUGACAGGUGGUGCAUGGUUGUCGUCAGCUCGUGUCGUGAGAUGUUGGGUUAAGUCCCGCAACGAGCGCAACCCUUGUCGUUAGUUACUACCAUUAAGUUGAGGACUCUAGCGAGACUGCCUGGGUUAACCAGGAGGAAGGUGGGGAUGACGUCAAAUCAUCAUGCCCCUUAUGUGUAGGGCUACACACGUGCUACAAUGGCUGGUACAGAAAGAUGCAAUACCGCGAGGUGGAGCCAAACUUAAAAACCAGUCUCAGUUCGGAUUGUAGGCUGAAACUCGCCUACAUGAAGCUGGAGUUACUAGUAAUCGCGAAUCAGAAUGUCGCGGUGAAUACGUUCCCGGGUCUUGUACACACCGCCCGUCACACCAUGAGAGUUGGCAAUACCCGAAGUCCGUGAGCUAACCGCAAGGAGGCAGCGGCCGAAGGUAGG
rnacentral:rRNA from 1 species